GGCUGGUCCAAUUGUACUGGGCCAUCAAAACUUACUAACAUUACUGACACUGAAGUUCAUACAGGCCUCACUGCUUACUUGGACUGGUUUUAA
rnacentral:sRNA from 1 species